GGAGGAGGAUGUGGCCUUAUUGACGUUCCACAUUUGCACGGCGGACGGAGCUAUGGUUUGGGAGGGUUCUUCCAUAGAAAACAACAUGCAUCACAAGCUGCGCAAGGCUGUAGUCUUGGCGGAUAGGGGCAUCAUAUUGUUGGGUCUGCGGAGCGGCACUCCAAACCCAAUGGACGGCACUGCACACAUACAAGAAACAGGGGCAUCCUGGAGUGGAGGGGGGCUCCAUGGCGGACACCCGCACGACCUUCAGAAGCACUAUGGACAUAGAAGCAUCGAGCGGCUGGUUAGUCGGGGGGGAUCUAUUUACAAAAGCGGAAAGGUUUAU
rnacentral:lncRNA from 1 species